rnacentral:rRNA from 1 species
CCUACGGGUGGCACCAGUGGGGAAUAUUGGACAAUGGGCGAAAGCCUGAUCCAGCAAUGCCGCGUGUGUGAAGAAGGUCUUCGGAUUGCAAAGCACUUUCGACGGGGACGAUGAUGACGGCACCCGUGGGAGAAGCCCCGGCUAACUUCGUGCCAGCAGCCGCGGUAAUACGAAGGGGGCUAGCGUUGCUCGGAAUGACUGGGCGUACAGGGCGCGUAGGCGGUUUGUGCAGUCAGAUGUGAAAUCCCCGGGCUUAACCUGGGAACUGCAUUUGAGACGCAUAGACUAGAGGUCGAGAGAGGGUUGUGGAAUUCCCAGUGUAGAGGUGAAAUUCGUAGAUAUCGGGAAGAACACCGGUGGCGAAGGCGGCAACCUGGCUCGAUACUGACGCUGAGGCGCGAAAGCGUGGGGAGCAAACAGGAUUAGAUACCCGCGUAGUC